rnacentral:rRNA from 1 species
UGGGGAAUAUUGGGCAAUGGGGGAAACCCUGACCCAGCAACGCCGCGUGAAGGAAGAAGGCCUUCGGGUUGUAAACUUCUUUACCAGGGACGAAGGACGUGACGGUACCUGGAGAAAAAGCAACGGCUAACUACGUGCCAGCAGCCGCG